UUUACCUUCUUUGCAUUUAUAAAUGAAAAUAAAAUGUAAAAAAAGAAACACUUUUGCGAAAAAAUUGACUUAACAGACAUAUUAAACGCCCUUAACAUAGCUAGUAAACAACCACGCAUGUUUUGCGCGUGUCCAUGUUAAACAGUACUUUUAAUACACCUGUGCAAACCUGUAUUUGUCGAAUCUAUAACGAUUUACUUUCCGUGUGUACUUGACGCGCUUGGGUGCUUCCGUGUGAAUUUUGGUGAACUCAUAAUAGCUGUUAACCUCGACAGUGACGGUGUACAUGUGUUUACGUAAUAUUGGUAUUUUAUUCAACGGAUCGUUUAUGUAUUAUACGGUUAAGGGCCAGUGUGACGCACUAUUAAAGAGUCUUUCGUUGGCCCAUGGACAUCAUGGAACAAAAUGUCUCCACCACGAACGGUAUAAUCACUUUCAAUAUGAUGGCAGCAAUGUGUCAUAACAACAGAGGCAUUGGCUACCAGGGUGAUCUGCCAUGGCCAAAAUUGAAGGCCGAUUUUGAGUAUUAUUUAAAGACCACAUCCACACACAAUAAAGACUCCAGUUUGAUGAUUGUACAUGUACAUGGCCGUAAGAGCUGGGCGGGAUGUACGGACUUUCAGGCGAGCUAAGGAGGC